rnacentral:rRNA from 1 species
UACGUAGGGCGCAAGCGUUAUCCGGAAUUAUUGGGCGUAAAGAGCUCGUAGGCGGUUUGUCGCGUCUGCCGUGAAAGUCCGGGGCUCAACUCCGGAUCUGCGGUGGGUACGGGCAGACUAGAGUGAUGUAGGGGAGACUGGAAUUCCUGGUGUAGCGGUGAAAUGCGCAGAUAUCAGGAGGAACACCGGUGGCGAAGGCGGGUCUCUGGGCAACACUGACGCUGAGGAGCGAAAGCGUGGGGAGCGAACAGG